UCUUUGUGAUGGAAAAACAGGUCAGCAGAGGACAAAGCAGGGGCGCAGGCAGAAGAGGAGGGAGACAGAGCCCAGGGAGCCCUGUGUGACCCCUUGCAUCUAGCCAUGCCCAACACAGCCCUACCUUUCACCAUUACUUAGGCCAGUAAGUGCCCCCUUUUUUCAUUAACGUGUUCCCGCUGGAGCCACAGGCAAUACACGGGUGACUGUCCCAUCGCAUGGCUGUACAGCUGGUGGUGAAGUGGCACAGCCGUGCAUCUCAUGGGUGCUGUAUCCUGAUUCCAGUGCCACCACCCUCACGGAGAAGCCAUGGGGAAUGAUCUCUGCACAGGACAGGAAAGCCUUUUGAUCAAACAAGCCAUUCCCAGGCCAUUAGCAGAACUUCAACAGAAGGCUGGGCUUCAGCUCCGUUUUGGAAAGAGACACAGCUGCAGAGGGACAGAAAGGCUCCCUGAUUUGGGAACGAAGUCUGCAGAACUGUCCCAACUCUACCCAAGGCCCUGGGACCUGGGGGCAAUAGCCCCCUGCCUCUGGACCCAGCCACUUCUUUGUCUGGGAAGGAGAACCAAGUGGAAAUGCGGGGAACCACAGGGUGUCACAGGAUGUCCUGCUGUCUGUCUGACCACACAAUGGCAGCAUGAAUGCUGGGAAAAAUCUUGGCAAAUAAU